rnacentral:misc_RNA from 1 species
GAUGAAGAACGCAGCGAAAUGCGAUAAGUAAUGUGAAUUGCAGAAUUCAGUGAAUCAUCGAAUCUUUGAACGCACAUUGCGCCCGCCAGUAUUCUGGCGGGCAUGCCUGUUCGAGCGUCAUUUCAACCAUCAAGCCCUGCUUGCGUUGGGGUCCUGCGGCUGCCCGCAGGCCCUGAAAACCAGUGGCGGGCUCGCUAGUCACACCGAGCGCAGUAAUACAUCUCGCUUUGGGCGUGCGGCGGGUUCUUGCCGUUAAACACCCCCUUUUUACCAAGGUUGACCUCGGAUCAGGUAGGAAUACCCGCUGAACUUAAGCAUAUCAAUAAGCGGAGGAA